rnacentral:rRNA from 1 species
UUACCCCUUAUUUUAAAGCAAUUCAANUGAGGUACAGCCCAUUUGACACAGGACUCAACCUUUACUAACGGGUAAUACCCAAUUCACAUCCUAAAGUGGGCCUAACAGCAGCCACCUUUAAAAAAGCGUCAAAGCUUACUUUGUAAAUCUUAAUCNUUAUAUCCCAACUCAUCCCUUUUUCAGUACUGAGAACCUCUAUNAUUUUAUAGAGCCUUUUAUGCUAAAACUAGUAACAAGAGACACCCCUCUCCNUUAAUGCAAAUUUAACCCAGUAAGAACUAAUCACUGGCAAUUAACAGAACUAACCUAAUGUAGUAACUUCACUAGAAAACCSUACGCUAUCUCACUGUUAACCUAACACCAGAGCAUUACAAGAAAGAUUAAAAGAAAAAGAAGGAAUUCAGCAAACCAUAGCCCCGCCNGUUNACCAAAAACAUCGCCUCUUGCUCAAUAUNAGAGGUCUCGNCNGCCCAGUGACCNUGUUCAACGGCCGCGGUAUCCUAACCGUGCGAAGGUAGCGUAAUCACUUGUCUUUUAAAUAAAGACUAGUAUGAAAGGCAUCACGAGAGCUAAACWGNCUCMNUUUUCCNNUCAGNGAACCUNAUCUNNCNG